GUGGGUCAUUUGGAAGGAUAACAUUUGCCUGAGAGAUGAUGAAGAAAUUGAAGUCUACCAAAGGUUCUGAUCACUUCAAUUUGCAUUACUCCAUGUUAGUCUUUCCAGGUUUUUUGGUGAUCAUCUUGUCAUUUCUUAUGGCCCAAUGGAGGAAAUCAAGGACCAGAAAGGGACAUUGACCAUGUCAUGGCACAUAACAAAUGUUAUGGGCACAUAACAAAUCAAGUUGCAGAAAUGGGCCCAGAAUACAAGAUAUUUAGAAGUUUCCUCUUAGAUAAAAUCACCUGGAGAGAAAGAUGGCAAACCAUACCAUUAUCUGCCAAGAAAAAUCCAAAUGGGCUCACAAAGACUGAACAACAACACAUGCCAGUUGAAGAAACUGAGGUCCAGAGAGGUGAAAUGGUUGUCAGAAAGAGAAGGGAAGGAGAAGGAAAGGCAAGAAGAAAAGAAGGAAAGAUUUCUUCCACCAGAGACUCUGGUAUACCAUGUGCAUCCUCUUCUGAAGCAGGAAACCAGAAGAAUGUUUAUCUCCUCUCAAGUUCUCAUGCCAAUUCUGUCUUUUACUUGGGAUAA
rnacentral:lncRNA from 1 species